UAAGUUAAUAAGGGCGCACGGUGGAUGCCUUGGCACUAGGAGCCGACGAAGGACGUGACAAACGACGAUAUGCCUUGGGUAGCUGUAAGUAAGCGAUGAUCCAGGGAUUUCCGAAUGGGGGAACCCAACAGGUAAUACCUGCUACCUACAUCUGUUAAGGAUGUGAGGAGGAAGACGCAGUGAACUGAAACAUCUAAGUAGCUGCAGGAAGAGAAAGCAAAAGCGAUUGCCUUAGUAGCGGCGAGCGAAACGGCAGAAGGGCAAACCGAAGAGUUUACUCUUCGGGGUUGUAGGACUGCAAUGUGGACUCAAAGAUUAUAGAAGAAUGAUUUGGGAAGAUCAGCCAAAGAGAGUAAUAGCCUCGUAUUUAAAAUAGUCUUUGUACUUAGCAGUAUCCUGAGUACGGCGGGACACGUGAAAUCCCGUCGGAAUCUGGGAGGACCAUCUCCCAACCCUAAAUACUCCCUAGUGACCGAUAGUGAACCAGUACCGUGAGGGAAAGGUGAAAAGCACCCCGGGAGGGGAGUGAAAUAGAACCUGAAACCGUGUGCCUACAACAAGUUCGAGCCCGUUAAUGGGUGAGAGCGUGCCUUUUGUAGAAUGAACCGGCGAGUUACGUUAUGAUGCGAGGUUAAGUUGAAGAGACGGAGCCGUAGGGAAACCGAGUCUGAAUAGGGCGCCUUAGUAUCAUGACGUAGACCCGAAACCAUGUGACCUACCCAUGAGCAGGUUGAAGGUGCGGUAAGACGCACUGGAGGACCGAACCAGGGCACGUUGAAAAGUGCUUGGAUGACUUGUGGGUAGCGGAGAAAUUCCAAACGAACUUGGAGAUAGCUGGUUCUCUCCGAAAUAGCUUUAGGGCUAGCGUCGACAUUAGAGAUUCUUGGAGGUAGAGCACUGUUUGGGUGAGGGGUCCAUCCCGGAUUACCAAUCUCAGAUAAACUCCGAAUGCCAAUGAAUUAUGGUCGGCAGUCAGACUGCGAGUGCUAAGAUCCGUAGUCGAAAGGGAAACAGCCCAGACCACCAGCUAAGGUCCAAAAUAAUUGUUAAGUGGAAAAGGAUGUGGGGUUGCACAGACAACUAGGAUGUUAGCUUAGAAGCAGCUAUUCAUUCAAAGAGUGCGUAAUAGCUCACUAGUCGAGUGACCCUGCGCCGAAAAUGUACCGGGGCUAAAACAAUUUACCGAAGCUGUGGAUACCUUUAUAGGUAUGGUAGGAGAGCGUUCUAUGUGUGAUGAAGGUAUACCGUGAGGAGUGCUGGAACGCAUAGAAGUGAGAAUGCCGGUAUGAGUAGCGAAAGACAGGUGAGAAUCCUGUCCACCGUAAGACUAAGGUUUCCAGGGGAAGGCUCGUCCGCCCUGGGUUAGUCGGGACCUAAGGAGAGACCGAAAGGUGUAUCCGAUGGACAACAGGUUGAUAUUCCUGUACUAGAGUAUGUAGUGAUGGAGGGACGCAGUAGGCUAACUAAAGCAGACGAUUGGAAGAGUCUGUCUAAGCAGUGAGGUGUGAAUUGAGUCAAAUGCUUAAUUCUAUAACAUUGAGCUGUGAUGGGGAGCGAAGUUUAGUAGCGAAGUUAGUGACGUCACACUGCCAAGAAAAGCUUCUAGCGUUUAAACAUACUCUACCCGUACCGCAAACCGACACAGGUAGUCGAGGCGAGUAGCCUCAGGUGAGCGAGAGAACUCUCGUUAAGGAACUCGGCAAAAUGACCCCGUAACUUCGGGAGAAGGGGUGCUGACUUAAAGUCAGCCGCAGUGAAUAGGCCCAAGCAACUGUUUAUCAAAAACACAGCUCUCUGCUAAAUCGUAAGAUGAUGUAUAGGGGGUGACGCCUGCCCGGUGCUGGAAGGUUAAGAGGAGUGCUUAGCGUAAGCGAAGGUAUGAAUUGAAGCCCCAGUAAACGGCGGCCGUAACUAUAACGGUCCUAAGGUAGCGAAAUUCCUUGUCGGGUAAGUUCCGACCCGCACGAAAGGCGUAAUGAUUUGGGCACUGUCUCAACGAGAGACUCGGUGAAAUUUUAGUACCUGUGAAGAUGCAGGUUACCCGCGACAGGACGGAAAGACCCCAUGGAGCUUUACUGCAGUUUGAUAUUGAGUGUCUGUACCACAUGUACAGGAUAGGUAGGAGUCUAAGAGAUCGGGACGCCAGUUUCGAAGGAGACGCUGUUGGGAUACUACCCUUGUGUUAUGGCCACUCUAACCCAGAUAGGUGAUCCCUAUCGGAGACAGUGUCUGACGGGCAGUUUGACUGGGGCGGUCGCCUCCUAAAAGGUAACGGAGGCGCCCAAAGGUUCCCUCAGAAUGGUUGGAAAUCAUUCGCAGAGUGUAAAGGUAUAAGGGAGCUUGACUGCGAGAGCUACAACUCGAGCAGGGACGAAAGUCGGGCUUAGUGAUCCGGUGGUUCCGUAUGGAAGGGCCAUCGCUCAACGGAUAAAAGCUACCCUGGGGAUAACAGGCUUAUCUCCCCCAAGAGUUCACAUCGACGGGGAGGUUUGGCACCUCGAUGUCGGCUCGUCGCAUCCUGGGGCUGUAGUCGGUCCCAAGGGUUGGGCUGUUCGCCCAUUAAAGCGGCACGCGAGCUGGGUUCAGAACGUCGUGAGACAGUUCGGUCCCUAUCCGUCGCGGGCGUAGGAAAUUUGAGAGGAUCUGCUCCUAGUACGAGAGGACCAGAGUGGACUUACCGCUGGUGUACCAGUUGUCUUGCCAAAGGCAUCGCUGGGUAGCUAUGUAGGGAAGGGAUAAACGCUGAAAGCAUCUAAGUGUGAAACCCACCUCAAGAUGAGAUUUCCCAUGAUUAUAUAUCAGUAAGAGCCCUGAGAGAUGAUCAGGUAGAUAGGUUAGAAGUGGAAGUGUGGCGACACAUGUAGCGGACUAAUACUAAUAGCUCGAGGACUUAUCCA
rnacentral:rRNA from 1 species